rnacentral:rRNA from 2 species
AGGUGCGAUCAUACCAGACUAGUGCACCAGAUCCCAUUAGAAAUCCACAGAUACGCAUUCUUGGGUGAGAGUACUAUUAGUAUGGGUGACCUCUUGGGAAGUCCUCGUGUUGCACCUC